UACAGAGGGUGCAACCGUUGUUCGGAAUCACUGGGCAUAAAGCGUAUGUAGGCGGCUCCGUAAGUGUCGGGUGAAAUCCCACGGCCUACCCGUGGAACUGUUCGGCAUACUGCGGAGCUAGAGGAUGGUAGAGGAGAGCGGAACUCUUGGUGGAGCGGUGAAAUGCGUAGAUAUCAAGAGGAACACCGGUGGCGAAGGCGGCUCUCUGGUCCAUUACUGACGCUGAGGUACGAAAGCUAGGGGAGCAAACGGG
rnacentral:rRNA from 1 species